rnacentral:rRNA from 1 species
AAUAUUUCGCAAUGGAGGGAACUCUGACGCAGCGACGCCGCGUGAGCGAAGAAGGCCUUCGGGUCGUAAAGCUCUGUCCUAAGGGAAGAAACGGACGGUAUCUUAUGAGGAAGCCUCGGCUACCUACGUGCCAGCAGCCGCGGUAAUACGUAGGGGGCGGGCGUUAUCCGGAAUUAUUGGGCGUAAAGGGUGCGUAGGCGGCCUUUUAAGUCAGAUGUGAAAGGCUACGGCUUAACCGUAGUUAGCAUUUGAAACUAAAAGGCUUGAGUGCAGGAGAGGAGAGUGGAAUUCCUAGUGUAGCGGUGAAAUGCGUAGAUAUUAGGAGGAACACCAGUGGCGAAGGCGACUCUCUGGACUGCAACUGACGCUGAGGCACGAAAGCGUGGGGAGCGAACA